UAUAAUCAAUUUUGUCUAAUU
rnacentral:piRNA from 1 species